rnacentral:lncRNA from 1 species
GCACUUGUGCCCAAGACAUACUCUGGGGCAGCAACACAUUCCCACUUGGAUUCUCUGGCUCUUCACACUGCACCUGACUUUCCUUCACUCCAGCCACGAACCUGAAGCAGUGUUAAGGUGUGCUUCCCCUGGAGUUGAACUUUCCAAAUCAAUGUGGCAGCUGAUGGAAGAAAGGCAGUGUCUGAGCUUUAGAAGCCUGAGGAUGUGAAGAAAGCAGAAAACUGUAUACCUGUCCCUGGCACAAUAUCUCAGCCCUCCACAAACUCAGGUAACCUUACCACUACCCUGUUGCUGCUCUGAUUUGCUUCUCAUUGCUCCCGCUCACCCUGCCAAUCACUUGGUCUUGUUCGCCAUUCCGCCAGAUCCUAGUGCACCCCGUUCGUCCUGUUAGUUCCUUGCUGUGGACCAUGCACACCUGCCCAAACGUGAGGGCUUCUGUUAGGCUCUUUCUAUGAAUCCUAGGGCCCAGGCGGGAUGCUGCAGAGUAGGACCAGCCACAGGCCUAUAUGUUUGCACUUACC